CCUACGGGAGGCAGCAGUGAGGAAUAUUGGUCAAUGGACGAGAGUCUGAACCAGCCAAGUAGCGUGAAGGAUGACUGCCCUAUGGGUUGUAAACUUCUUUUAUAAAGGAAUAAAACGAGGCACGUGUGCCUUUUUGCAUGUACUUUAUGAAUAAGGAUCGGCUAACUCCGUGCCAGCAGCCGCGGUAAUACGGAGGAUCCGAGCGUUAUCCGGAUUUAUUGGGUUUAAAGGGAGCGUAGAUGGGUUGUUAAGUCAGUUGUGAAAGUUUGCGGCUCAACCGUAAAAUUGCAAUUGAUACUGGCAGUCUUGAGUACAGUUGAGGUAGGCGGAAUUCGUGGUGUAGCGGUGAAAUGCUUAGAUAUCACGAAGAACCCCGAUUGCGAAGGCAGCUCACUAAACUGUGACUGACAUUGAUGCUCGAAAGUGUGGGUAUCAAACAGGAUUAGAUACCCGAGUAGUC
rnacentral:rRNA from 1 species